AAAGCCUACAAAGUCUCAUCUAACAAUAUUCUCUAAUAAAAAUCAUAUUCAACUUACUUAAUAUGUUAUUGAAAUUAAUUGAAUUAAAUAAUUAAUUCAAAUUUUGGAAUUUAUAUCGAAAAUAAGGAUCCAAGUCUUAAAUUAAAUCAAUUAAAAAUCGGCUUGCGAAUUCGAGUUCAGUGCGUGGGAGGCAGUCGGUCAGUCACCGGACCUCCGCCGACGCCGCCAUCUAUGAUGGCUAAAAAGUCGAUUUCGCCGGAAAUCUCACCUCUACUAUAUCAAAAUGCUCGGAAUUCUUUGGGGAGCUUGACUAUACUAUCAAUUUGGAGAGACUCAGCCUUGGUUGGCCGAAUCGACCACCACAGCAACACCCACGCCACCAAUCAUGGUGGUUUCAUCAUGCGAGCUCGGCCACCACGAUUGACAGAGUGAAAAUAUUCAUCGAAACCAUCGGUCGCCUGCGAGACCACCGGAAACGGCGUGAACUUCGCUGGAAAAGAGUCAAGUAGUGGGCUGGAGAGAGAGCGAUUCGCACUGAAGGAAAGCAAUACUUGACUGCCGGAGGCUACUGCACCGUUUAGUGUCGCCGAAAGUUAUGGCCUUUGGCCGGAAAAGGGAAAGAAGUGGCGGGGUGGGGCUGCCCCACGAAGGAGCGAAGUAGAAAACAAGAAAAAAAAAAAAGGAAAACUUUUAUGGUUUUCUUGCUUUUGUACUCCGACUUGGUCCAACCCAGGCUUGAUCUGGUUUAAAUCGCUUUAUAUUCAAUUUUCUAUGGUUUUAGGCGGUUUAAGUCUGGUUUUCAACAAAUUCAAGCUUGAUUUAGGUGGUUUUUUAUUUAUUAAAUUGAUUUGUAAUAAUAUUUUAAUGUUUAAAUGAUAAUUGAGAAAGUUCUUGAUUCGAGAGUUUCCAUAACAUGUUUUUUUGGAUGUGGCCCAAUUUUUUGAAUUUGGGCUUGAAGGCUUGGGCCCAAUUC
rnacentral:lncRNA from 1 species